AAAAAGAAUCAUCACACAAUAUAGUCUCCCAUCCUUUAGAGAAACAUAAGGAAACUUUAUUCGGUAAUACCAUGUCAGAUGAAUUUUCCCAAUCAUCCGCUCUGACGAUAAGCAUUAUGAUCUAGCUCUCAAACUAGAAGUUUCUCCUCAGCUGUCCAGACAUUAGGCAAGGCACAAGAGAUAUAUGUUGUUUAGACGGGACAGAAAGAAGAAACCAUUGGACGAAGAGAAAAUUAUCAGCAAAGAUGCCACACCCUCCACCAAGAAAGAUCUAGGAAAGCACAAAUGCUUCAUCUGCCGUGACAAAGGACACUUUUCAAAAGAAUGUACCAAGUCCAGAAAGAUGAAGAGGGAAGCACAAGCUUCAGAGAAUAUCAUGGCUUGUCCUAAAGAUCUUGACGAUCCCUAUCCAACAGUAGAAGAAAUUACUAGGUCUACUUUCAAUGUAGAGAAAGGAAUAUCCGAGGACAUCUUCAUUAUUGACCAAUCACCAUGUUUCUUUAGAAGACAGUCAUCUGGUCCUAACAAUAACUUUUGUGCUAGUGAUUGUGUCAAGAACGAUGGAGAUGCUUUCUAGCAAUCAAUCUAAUUGCCCAAGAAGGACUGUCCAUCUAUGUUAGAGAAACACUCUAGCAAGCCAGUGUCUCUCAAAAGGUCUUCGAGCAAAAAAGAAUAACUAGUGAUCCAAUCCCAGAAAGGAGGCUUGAACCAACAACAGAGGCAGAGGAAACCAUUGUUUCAACUCCAUCCCUGCCUCAGGACUUCAGAAUAUUCAGGAUGAAGAAGAAUCUGGCUGACGGAGAACAAUGCAUGACACUGUCAGAUUGCACUUCCAAAUUCUCCAAAAUCCUCAAAUACAGGUGGAAUACACUUAGUAUUGUGGAUAAAACCAAUUAUCUCACAUUCCAAGACUUUGCCGCCAAUAACAGAAUCUUGCUAGAAGCCUUCUGCAAAGACACGAGCUACACAAAGAAGGCUAUUUUCUAGGCCAUGAAGAGUCAAUGCGAGAAGAGAUCUGUACUAAAGCAGAUUAUUGAUAAACACCUAGUUUUUGAUUCUCAUUACAGAAGGAACAAUCUUGUUAUGAAGUUCAACUGUCCCUGUUCAAGAUGUCAGGAGGGAUCCCAGUGAAAGCUGUUGUUCAGGAGAUUCAAACAACCUAGGCCUCCAGAUGACAAUCCUAGGGUACCCAGGAAAAUAAGGCAUUUCAAACGAAGGAGCCCAGCAGAUUUUAGGAAGAGGAAUGAUAGUUGCUUUAUCUAUAGAAAGCCUGGUUACUUUGCAAAAUAUUUUCCUAAAUCCAAGAAGUCAAAAGAUGUUGUCCACCUCUUUGAAAAAAUAGGUGAUCAUGUUGGAAUCUAUCCCAACAAAUAGGUCGACCUUAAAUCGGUAUUGUCACUGGAAGAAGAGCUGAUGCAGGACAUCAUCUUUUCCAUAGAUAUCUACAAAAAAUGAGGAGAAAUCUAUGUUACUAAGGACAACUAGAAAUUGUCAAGUCAGUUUCUUAUGUUCAACACACCAGGAAUGUUAUCAUCUGAAUUAGAAGAUCAUUCUUUAGAUCUAUUCAACAAAUAUAUAGAUCCUUCAGAUCCAUCUAUCAUCUGAGAAAUUUAGACUUUCAACAAGCUUCAAGUAUUCGAAAGGCGUAACAAAUAUAUCCUGAAGCUGUUAGGUGAACAUCCAAAAUAUCUUUGUUGUUAUGUGUUCAUUAUACUAGAAAAUGACUUCCAGCAAGAACUCCAAAAGCUAUUCUGCUAUAUUUUCCAUCACUAUUUUAUCAUCAUGGAGUUGAAGUUUUAUGCCUUCAGGCAUUAUGAUUGAAUCCAACCAACUCCAAUAAGAUUCAUGUUAUACUGGAUUCAACGCUUCAAAGAUUUCUGUGAUGCAACAGCCUUCAGGUUGUAUCACCUGGUACGAAUCACAGACCAUGAAGUCCAAUCCCAGUCGGAGAUUUCAUCACUCUAGGUAUUUCCCGAUCUAAUGCUCCCUCUUAAAAAUAAAUGUUGUGAAGAACAAUACUUCACUCUACAGAAAAGAAGAUGCAUUCUAAAGAAAAGGAACUACACCAAUGAUCAUCCUCAUAGGGUUGAAGUUCGGCAAAAAAACAAAAGAAUAUCAGCCACCGUAUAAGAUUAAAAAUGAUGAAGCCACAAGUAUACGAUUGAUGGUUCCUCUGCAAGAAUGCAAAGAUUCAUCCAAGAGAAAGAGUUACUUCACCAGAUCGAUGAAGAAAAGCUUGGAAGGCCAAGAACGCCUCAUGCAUAAGCACGAGGUAGAUUGGUGGAUAGAAGAAGCAUAAGCGAGAUCAUCGCCACCGGCAAUAUCCCAUAAUGCUACCUGAAAGAUGACGUAAGAUGAAAUGUGAAAUAAGUUACCUUAUCCACUGGGUUACCCUUUCCGGUAGGUUAUCCUCUCCAGUGGGUUACCCUUCCCAGUGGGUUACCCUCCUGUCCAAGGAAACCCUGUCUGAUGGGUUACCCUCAUAAGUAGGUUAUCCUUUCCAGUGGGUUACCCUCCUCUCCAAGCAAACCCUUCUCAGUUGGUUACCCUUUUAGAUAGGUUUCGAAGCACCUAACUCAGCUACUUUGAAGAUAAGGAGCUUAUCCACCUUCUUGCAAGAUGCCUGUAAAGUUGCUGAUGCACCUGCUUUGAUGGAUAUCAGGUAGAGAUCAGUAGCAUCGAUAUCUCCUAAUUCUUCAUAAGCCUCUACAGAGAAGAGGGUGUCCUCUGUCGGCUCUUCUUCCAGCGAGAAAAUGGAUUCAAGGUUGUCCUCUUCGUCGAAAUAGAUUCCUGUAUGAUCAACUAUUUCAUCAAAGAGGUGGACAACAUCUCUUGAUGUUUUGAGUUGAGGACAGUUUCUUGCAAUGUAACUAGGAUUAUUACAGAUGAAGCGGCUAUCAUUCUUCUUCUGGUAGUACGCUUGGCUUCUUCGUCUGAAAUUCCUGGUCUGCCUUACUGCCUUAGGAUCAUUUUCUAGAGGUCAUGGUAAUUUGAAUCUCCUGAACAACAACUUUUGUUGGGAUCCUGUCUGGCGACUUGAACAGGGGAAAUCGGACUUUAUAACAAGAUUGUUCCUGCCGAAAUAAGGAUAAAAAAUCGGAUAGUUUCCGAUAAUCUGCUUUAUGAUAGAUCUCUUCUUGCAUAGACUAUUCAAGGCCUGGAAGAUGGCCUACCUGGUGUAGCUCAUGUCUUUGCAGAAGGCUUCAAGUAGGAUUUUGGUAUUGGAAGCAAAGUCUUCGAAUGUAACAUAAUUAUUUUUAUCCGCUCCCAAGUGUAUUCCUCUAGCAUGUGAGGAUUUUGGAGAAUCCGAAGGUGCUAUCUUAUAGUAUCACACAUCAUCCUCUUUCAUCCAGAUUCUUCAUCAUCAUGAAAGUUCUGAGGUCCUGAGGAAGGGAUAGAGUUGCAGCAAUGGUUUCCUACGGCUCUAUUGAUGUUUCGACUUUUGAGGAAACAUUUUUGGACUUUCUCUUAGGAUAAUUGUGUGUUUUCAAGCAUCUAUUGUUGUAUUGAUCAUUGCGUUUUAGUGUUUUCAGGACAAGGAUAAAACGCGAAGAAUAACUAGGAAAAACUGGCAAAGCAACAGAAAAAUAACAAGCAACGGUCUAGGUGAUGGACCAUCGACCCUGUGAUGAAACAUCGGCCUAAACAAUCGCCAAUAAAUAGAAUGUUGUGCCACUGGAAGUCCCACAAUGGUCACAGAAAUGGACCAUCGCCACUGUGAUGAACCGUUGGCCUAGACCGUCUCCAAGAAAUAGAAUGUUAUGCCACUAGAAGUCUUGCGGUGGUCCAGGCGACGGACCAUCUCCUCUGUAAUGAACUGUCGCCCGUUCCGUCUAGUAUGAAGCAGUAAUUCCGAGUUUGAAUUUUAAAAUCCCAGUCCUAGAAUCAUAUAAAUACUAAGUAUUAGGUUUUAUUUUGUCAUUUUUGACAGUAGUAUCAUAUUUUUCACCUCUAUUGACAACAUUAUAACACUAUUCUUUGAGAUUGGAAGCUAGAACUUGGGAUCUGACUACUAUUCAUAUAUUUUUUCAUUGAAGAUUGAGAUAACAAUAUUGUGAUUGUUGUAAGUACUCCUUUAAAAUUAUUGAUGAAUAUUAAUAUGUUGUUGAUAUCUUACAUGGA